UACGAAGGUCCCGAGCGUUAUCCGGAUUUAUUGGGUUUAAAGGGUGCGUAGGCGGGUUAUUAAGUCAGUGGUGAAAGCCUACAGCUUAACUGUAGAAUUGCCAUUGAUACUGAUGAUCUUGAGUAUGAUUGAGGUGGGCGGAAUGUGUCAUGUAGCGGUGAAAUGCUUAGAUAUGACACAGAACACCGAUUGCGAAGGCAGCUCACUAAGUCAUAACUGACGCUGAUGCACGAAGGCGUGGGGAGCAAACAGG
rnacentral:rRNA from 1 species